ensembl:lncRNA
GAGUUCCAGGGACCUGGCUGGGAAGCAACUGUCCUCAGUGCCCACAGGACCAGUUCAUGGGAUGUGUCUGUAUAUCUGUAUAUCGGGCCCUGAGGCCCGCCUUUAGCCCACCUCCCCUCCUGAGGUCUCCUUCUGCCAGUCACCUGCUUAGUGCCCCUGCACCCUGGUGUCAGGCAGCCCCCCAGAGUUGCAUCCCUCCCUCCUGUAGUUACCCAAUGCUCUAUGAGCCCCUGUCAGCCGGGACCUCAGCAUGGGCUCACCACUGCCCUGCCCCCAGCACUCCCCUUCAUCACGGGCAUCAGGUUGGGCGCCUCUGGGAUGCUCCUUUGCUGCAGCUCUGUGGCUGUCCCCGUGAGGGUCCUCCCUCAGUGUAGCCCCAUCGCUCCAGUGGUGCUGGCGCGGUGAACCCGAUUGGCUCCCUGCCUCCUGCCUCCCUGUUCAGUCUAAACGGCACAGUCUAGUGUAGGAGCCACUAGAGCAUGCAGCUAUUCAAAUUCAAAUUAAAUUAAAUUAAGCCGGGUAUGGUGGUAUGAGACUAGUCCCAACUACUCGCGAGGCUGAGAUGGGAGGAUUGCUUGAGUCCAGGAGUUCACAUCCAGCCUGAGUAGCAUACGUCUCGUCUCUAAAAAAAAAAACAGAAACAUUAUGGAAGGAGCCUCUGGGGACGAGGAGCUGUUGUCCUGAGUGGACCAGUGACCAGGGCAGGAGGGGUGGAGUCCUAGCAGGGGUAGAGCCCAGCUUUGGGAACCAGCUUUCGCAGGCACUUGCCGGCUCCUCCGUGGGAAAGUCCUCAGGCAGCCUGUAGGGAGCUGGGAUCAGCUGAUGGGGAUGGGUUUGGAGGGGAGAGAGUGGUGCACAGGGACUGGAGGUGGGGGAGGGGUGGGGUUGCCAUGGAAAGGGCUCGUGGGAUGGGUCUUGGGCUGAGCCUUUGGCAAGGCCUCCACCCUGGAGCUGAGCCAGCAGAGAGGGGCUGACUCCGUGAGGCCCAGACUUUUGUGGGUAUUCUGGUGGCGUGGGCACCCUGUCUUCCCUGAACCCUGCCUGCCUAAUCUAAGAACUGCUCCCUUUGUAGCUCUGUCUCUCCUCUCUUGGCCUAGUUUCUUCAUCCGUGGGUGGGCACAGCAGAAGCUGUCUGACCUGGCCCAUGGUGAACGGGAUUUGCCAGGAUUUGACUCUGGCCAUCCAGGGAAGAUGGAGUUUUUGACCAGGCCUGGCCCCUGAAGCAGACUUCUUCCCUCUGAGCGUGCUAGGGAAGCAGAAUUUCCCCGGGCUAGGUGUCAUGGUCCACUAGGCCCUCCCUCGUCCAGGCUACUUGUGUUGAGCCUGGAGCAGAACCCCCACAUCUGUAGUCCUCCUGUCAGCUUGGGGAGUCUCAGUUUCCAUCUGUUUCAUUCCCAUCAGCUGUGUGUGGCUGAGCAAGUCACCUAACCUCGAGGCCUCCAUGUCCUCAUCUGCAAAAUGGAGACACACAUAGCUGCAUCCCCAGUGUCCACUGGUAGCUGGAAUGAUAUGUUGACUACAGAGUGACCACUUUGUGUAGGCUUCCCUGUGGGUGGGUGUCAGUCAAAGGAGUGAGUCAGAUGAUGAGAGGGGAGGACAGCAGAGCAGCAGUUGUCUCUCCAGUCUUGCCGGGACUCCAGGAUUGGCCAUGUUCUGCAGCCACCGCCUCUGUCUGUCUCCCCAUGUGGGAUCCUGAAACCUCAAGCUGCAUUUAGUCUCAGAGUCCAGGGGAGGUGCUCACUGUCUUCUGACCCCUCAGAUGCCGACUCCCUCUGCCUUACCCCGGGGAAGGAACCAGUAGCAGAAGCUCCAGGGAAACUGAUGAAGGUCAACAGAAGGAGGAAUUUCUAGCAGCCCAAAGGGAUUGGAAUGGGUGGCCCGUGGGAGUGGACAUGCAGAGGCACUGGCCUGGGGUGAAGGCUUGGACCAAAUUCUUACUCACAGGCCCUCUGGAGCCAGGAGAGGAGUCUGCAGGCCUCGGCUGGGCCACAUUCCCCAGAUUCUGGCCUUAGGUCCUGAAUGCCUGGUGAGUUACUGAGAAAGGCCCCGCAGACUGAGGGUGCCAGUCAGGAUUAAGCAGCCCCCUAAUUGGCCCACCUCCCUUUGUACCUUAACAAAGGUGUCUUUGUUACCUUUCUUAAAGGUAAUAAAGCCGGUCAGGAGCAAAGCCUGGCACGUUCAGGGGGUCGUCUGCAUUUGGUCAUCCAGCAGGAAACCCAAAUGGAAGGAAAGAAAAAAAAAA